rnacentral:rRNA from 1 species
AUGUUUGUGGUGGAGAGUGAUGGUCGGGCCGGGGGCCUUGUCUUGUUUUAUCAUAAAGUGAAUAAAGUUGAGUUGAACUAUAUCUCGGCUAAUUUUAUUGAUAUUUUGUUUAUAAAUGAGGAAGUCGUACAGUGGCGUUUCACGGGUUUUUAUGGUCAUCCGAACUGGAGCGAUCGCAAUUUAUCUUGGGAGGAUAUUCGUAAUUUGUAUCAUAAGGGUAAUCAUCCAUGGGUGGUUCUAGGAGAUUUUAAUGAGAUUUUAUAUUCCUCGAAGAAAGAGGGGGGCAAUGCCAGACCAAAUGGAAUGAUGAAGGAUUUUCGUGAUUGUCUAGCAGAAUGUGGCUUGGAUGAUAUGGGGUUCAUAGGCGACCCCUUUACAUGGAGGAGAGGUGAGAUUAGGGAACGUCUUGACCGUGCAGUAUGUAAUGUACAAUGGGCGCAUAAAUUUCCUCGGGCGGCUGUGAUUAAUGAAAACCAUGUACAUUCUGACCACCGGCCGUUAGUU